AGAAACGUAAAGAAACUAGAGGAAACACAGCUUUACUGACUUUUAAUCAGUAGGUCUCGGGUUCGAACCCCGACGCUCUCACCA
rnacentral:tRNA from 1 species